rnacentral:rRNA from 1 species
UACGAAGGGGGCUAGCGUUGCUCGGAAUCACUGGGCGUAAAGGGUGCGUAGGCGGGUCUUUAAGUCAGGGGUGAAAUCCUGGAGCUCAACUCCAGAACUGCCUUUGAUACUGAGGAUCUUGAGUUCGGGAGAGGUGAGUGGAACUGCGAGUGUAGAGGUGAAAUUCGUAGAUAUUCGCAAGAACACCAGUGGCGAAGGCGGGUCUCUGGACAGUUCCUGACGCUGAGGCACGAAGGCCAGGGGAGCAAACCGGGG